UACAGAGGUCUCAAGCGUUGUUCGGAUUCAUUGGGCGUAAAGGGUGCGUAGGCGGCGCGGUAAGUCGGGUGUGAAAUCUCGGAGCUUAACUCCGAAACUGCAUUCGAUACUGCCGUGCUUGAGGACUGGAGAGGAGACUGGAAUUUACGGUGUAGCGGUGAAAUGCGUAGAUAUCGCAAGGAAGACCAGUGGCGAAGGCGGGUCUCUGGACAGUUCCUGACGCUGAGGCACGAAGGUCAGGGGGAGCAAAACGGGG
rnacentral:rRNA from 1 species